rnacentral:rRNA from 1 species
CUACGUGCCAGCAGCCGCGGUAAUACGUAGGGCGCGAGCGUUGUCCGGAAUUAUUGGGCGUAAAGAGCUUGUAGGCGGUUUGUCGCGUCUGCUGUGAAAGGCCGGGGCUUAACUCCGUGUAUUGCAGUGGGUACGGGCAGACUAGAGUGCAGUAGGGGAGACUGGAAUUCCUGGUGUAGCGGUGGAAUGCGCAGAUAUCAGGAGGAACACCGAUGGCGAAGGCAGGUCUCUGGGCUGUAACUGACGCUGAGAAGCGAAAGCAUGGGGAGCGAACAGGAUUAGAUACCCUGGUAGUCCACGCCCUAAACGAUGUCGAUUAGCUGUUGGGCAGCUUGACUGCUUAGUAGCGUAGCUAACGCGUGAAAUCGACCGCCUGGGGAGUACGGUCGCAAGAUUAAAACUCAAAGGAAUUGACGGGGACCCGCACAAGCGGUGGAUGAUGUGGAUUAAUUCGAUGCAACGCGAAGAACCUUACCUGGUCUUGACAU